rnacentral:rRNA from 1 species
ACUUUCAACAGCGGAUCUCUUGGUUCUGGCAUCGAUGAAGAACGCAGCGAAAUGCGAUAAGUAAUGUGAAUUGCAGAAUUCAGUGAAUCAUCGAAUCUUUGAACGCACAUUGCGCCCUCUGGUAUUCCGGGGGGCAUGCCUGUUCGAGCGUCAUUACAACCCUCAAGCUUU